GUGCUUUGGUAGCACAUAUUCUAUAAUUAGAACAAUGCACAGAAGAUUAGCACAGUUCCUGUGCAAGGAUGACAUACAAACUUGUGAAGCAUUCCAUAUAUUU